CCUACGGGUGGCAGCAGUAGGGAAUCUUCCACAAUGGGCGAAAGCCUGAUGGAGCAACGCCGCGUGAAUGAUGAAGGUCUUCGGAUUGUAAAGUUCUUUUCUAAGGGAAGAAGAAAGUGACGGUACCUUAGGAAUAAGCCUCGGCUAACUACGUGCCAGCAGCCGCGGUAAUACGUAGGAGGCAAGCGUUAUCCGGAAUGACUGGGCGUAAAGGGUGCGUAGGUGGUUUGACAAGUUGGUAGCGUAACUCCGGGGCUCAACCUCGGCACUACUACCAAAACUGUCGGACUUGAGUGCAGGAGGGGUAAGUGGAAUUCCUAGUGUAGCGGUGGAAUGCGUAGAUAUUAGGAGGAACAUCAGUGGCGAAGGCGGCUUGCUGGACGAUGACUGACGUUGAGGCUCGAAAGCGUGGGGAGCAAACAGGAUUAGAUACCCCUGUAGUC
rnacentral:rRNA from 1 species